rnacentral:rRNA from 1 species
AAACUGGCAGGCUUGAGUCUUGUAGAGGGGGGUAGAAUUCCAGGUGUAGCGGUGAAAUGCGUAGAGAUCUGGAGGAAUACCGGUGGCGAAGGCGGCCCCCUGGACAAAGACUGACGCUCAGGUGCGAAAGCGUGGGGAGCAAACAGGAUUAGAUACCCUGGUAGUCCACGCCGUAAACGAUGUCUACUUGGAGGUUGUGCCCUUGAGGCGUGGCUUCCGGAGCUAACGCGUUAAGUAGACCGCCUGGGGAGUACGGCCGCAAGGUUAAAACUCAAAUGAAUUGACGGGGGCCCGCACAAGCGGUGGAGCAUGUGGUUUAAUUCGAUGCAACGCGAAGAACC